rnacentral:rRNA from 1 species
CAGUCGCCACGGUAACACCAGCACCUCGAGUGGUCAGGAGGUUUAUUGGGCCUAAAGCAUCCGUAGCCGGUUGCAUAAGUUUUCGGUUAAAUCUAUGCGCUUAACGUAUAGGCCGCCGAAAAUACUGUGCAGCUAGGGAGUGGGAGAGGUACACGGUACUCGAUAGGAAGGGGUAAAAUCCUUUGAUCUAUUGAUGACCACCUGUGGCGAAGGCGGUGUACCAGAACACGUUCGACGGUGAGGGAUGAAAGCUGGGGGAGCAAACCGGAUUAGAUACCCGCGUAGUCCCUGUCUCUUAUAC